UACGUAGGAGGCAAGCGUUGUCCGGAAUCACUGGGCGUAAAGCGCGUGUAGGUGGAGCAGGAAGUCUGCUGUGAAAGCGCCUGGCUUAACCGGGCGAGGUCGGUGGAAACUCCUGGUCUAGAGGCCGGUAGAGGGGGUGGAAUUCCGGGUGUAGUGGUGAAAUGCGUAGAGAUCCGGAGGAACACCCGUGGCGAAGGCGGCCAUCUGGAUCAACACUGACGCUGAGGCACGAAAGCGUGGGAGCGAACAGG
rnacentral:rRNA from 1 species